rnacentral:rRNA from 1 species
UUGAGAUGUAAAAUUUGAUUAAAGUAGUUUACUCGAGUAUUACGAGUUGUUUAUAAGUAAUUUAUAGCAGUGCUCUUAAAACUCAAAAGACUUGGCGGUGUCUUAAGUCCUUCUAGGGGAACCUGUCCUGUAAUUGAUAGUCCACGAUUUACCUUUCCUUUUCUUGAAAUAUUCAGCUUGUAUACCGUCGUCGUCAGAUUACCCCUAAGAGUUAAAUAAGUUAUCGGAAAGAAGUUUGAGAAUUACAUUUUAUUUAGUUAAAAUAAGUGUUAAUAUAGUAGUUUCUAGAUGUCAGAUCAAGGUGCAGCGAAUGAAAGGGUAGAGAUGGGUUACAAUAAUUAUUUAUUAUUACGGAUCUCUUAUUGAAACUAUAAGAAUUGAAGGCGGACUUAGAAGUAAUUAAUUAAAAAUAGAAAGUUUUGGUGAAAAUGGCACUAAGAUGUG